AAACAGGAGUUGAAAAUCAUCAGAAAAUAUAACCACAGGUUCAUGAGCAUUUCCUUCCCCAGUAAGAAAGUCAAUGCCAGGUGACAGCUUGCUCCUUGCCAGGCACUGCUAUGAACAUUUUACAUGGGUUCAUUUCAUCAACCAAUUUAGGUGAGUGCUACUAAUGUCUCUGUGUUUUAGAACGAGGGAACAGAGCACAGAGAGUUUAAGCACCUGGUGAAAAGGCACACAGCUUUUACGAGACACAGUCAAUAUUGGAAUAUGCAUUUCUUGUUGCCAGACUUCUAACACUGAGCAUCUCUAAGCAACCAUCCUCUGGUCUGCUUUGGUUCAUCUGCUGAGGUCUUUACCUCUAGUGGCCUGAGUGGAUGCUACUGGGUAAUCCCCAGGUUCUGAACAUGCAGACUUUUGCAUGCCCUCAAGGAAUGAGGACCCCUGCAGAAAAUUACAUCAACAGCACAGCCAGCCAGGGAGCUGAUAACGUUCAAAUAGCAAAGACUGCUCCAAGUAUCACAGGGAGAGUCCACCCAGGAGUGAGGAAGGGAUGGUGUCUAUGUGAGCCUGAGAGAGGAGAGAGGGAACAGGGAUGAGAAUAGAGAAGAGAUAGUAAUGAUGAUUCUAUGGUAGCUUCUAGAAGUUGAUGAGCCAUGUUGCAAAUAUACAUAUGCAUUAUUGCAUGAACUACAUGAUUCUCAGAGAAUAAUAAAAUUACAAGGGACUUGAAAUAUUAACUACUCCAAGGUCAAGUGGUAGAGUUAAAACUUAGAGUGGGUUAGACAAAUUUUCCAAGUUUUCCAGCUGGUUAUCACUAGGGCCAACAGGAGCAGUCAGAUUCCUUAAUUUAGUUUAUUAUUGCCUUUUCUCUAAUAAUCCUAUGCGACAAUGUCUAAUAAGCAAUGUUAUGUUUUGAUCACUCGCAUCUGAACUUACUUUUAUAUGAGUAAUAUGCUGCAAUGGUUUCUACAGGCUUCUGGAUUGCUCUUCCUCCAUCUGUGUGAAGUUGCUAAUUACCUGUUGUCAAUGAAAACAACCCUUGUAGGCAGCUGAAGAAAUGGGAUUCGAAAUAGAAGUUUGAAGUCAAGCAAAAAACACAGGUGUUGCUUUGUUCAAUUAAAGCCUAACAAGAACCUUAGUGGGAUAAAAGGGUGGGAGGUGGGAAAAGGAAAGGAAAAGGUGACGUCAUCCCUGCUGUCAGAGGAUAAAAGGAAGAAAAUAGCUUACUAAGUACUUCCCGAGAGGGAAUUUGGAAAGCUGAAGAUUUAUAGGGCUAAACUUUCUUCACAUUACAAUGUACAUUUCAGAAAAAACAAAAAAAGUAACAAGACUCUCUGUCUUCUUAAAAGUCAGGAGGAAGUCAAUAGUUAAAGAUUAGACUUUGAAGCAGGCAAUGAAUUAUAAAUCGAGGGUUUUGUUUUUGCUUUUGUUUUUGUUUUUAUGAAGGGGAAGCAGGCAGAAUAAAUUCUACUGAAUUCGUUAAAGUUUGUGUCUGUACACUUGGAGCAAUGUACUCUAAUGUACUAUACAGAGACAGGCACAGUUUGUCAAUGCUACUGCAGCUAGCAUUAAAAAAAAAAAAACAACUCCUGCUUGGGUUGUUUUUAAUAAUCAUUUGUUUUCAGAGUCUUAUUAACAAUAGCCAAAUUUCAAAAUUAAAAUAUAUCAUCUCCUGUAGCCUUGUCACUCAAACACUGUGCAGUCCUCCUUUCCCAGUUAGGAAUCCCAUUGAACACGAAGAACGGGAAGAGCAGAGGCAUGCGUCUUCACACUCUGAGGCCAGGUCCCCUCUGAAGAGAUGCACUACUUCACACUUCUUCAGGAAGCCCUUCGUCCCCCUUCCUGUCUCCAUCACCUUCAAGUCCAGGUACAUUUAUAGUAGGAAUUUGUUCUGUGAAACCCUGCAGCAAUAGUUCUCCUCAUCUCCAUGGCAACAGCUUCCUAUCAGCUUCUGAAGGAACUUGCCUGUAUUGUAAACAAACCUCUCUUGGCAAUUGGCCUGUUUUCUUUCUCUAUCUCAUCUCCCAUCUGCUCAAAGGCUUUGCUUCAAAAAGAAAUAGGUUGCAGUGUCACAGCUAUUGGAUCAAGUAACUGCCAGAACAAAUGUAAUUCUGGCAUGAUCUCACGUAUCAGGAAAAAAUAAGUCAAACAGAAGGGGGAAAAAGAUAAAUUUCCUUCACUCAACAACACAUUUGAAGAGAGGACCCCCAAGGAUACCAAAAUCCAUGGAUGCUCAAGUGCCUCAUGUAAGAAUACUACAAAAGGUUUUUGGGAAAAUAGAAUUAAAAGCUAUUUAUUUUUGUUGUGAAAAAAUUGAAUUACAUGCAUAGUUUUAUUAAUAAUAUGCAUUUUCCAUGAACUUU